UCCUGGCUUAGGAUGAACGCUAGCUACAGGCUUAACACAUGCAAGUCGAGGGGCAGCGGGAAGUUAGCUUGCUAACUUUGCCGGCGACCGGCGCACGGGUGAGUAACGCGUAUCCAACUUCCCCUUAGUAGGGCAUAGCCCGGCGAAAGUCGGAUUAAUACCCUAUGUUUUCCAAUGAGGACAUCUGAGCUGGAAUAAAGAUUCAUCGCUAAGGGAUGGGGAUGCGUCCGAUUAGCUUGUUGGCGGGGUAACGGCCCACCAAGGCGACGAUCGGUAGGGUUCUGAGAGGAAGGUCCCCCACACUGGUACUGAGACACGGACCAGACUCCUACGGGAGGCAGCAGUGAGGAAUAUUGGUCAAUGGGCGCGAGCCUGAACCAGCCAAGUAGCCGUGCAGGAUGACGGCCCUAUGGGUUGUAAACUGCUUUUAUAGGGGAAUAAAGUUUCCUACGUGUAGGAUUUUGUAUGUACCCUGUGAAUAAGGACCGGCUAAUUCCGUGCCAGCAGCGGC
rnacentral:rRNA from 1 species